rnacentral:rRNA from 1 species
GAGUUUGAUCCUGGCUCAGGAUGAACCUGGCGGUAUGCCUUAUACAUGCAAGUCGUACGGGAGUUUUUAACUCAAGUGGCGGACGGGUGAGUAACACGUGAGUAAUUUGCCUUUAGGAGGGGGAUAACAAUUGGAAACGAUUGCUAAAACCCCAUAUGCUUUAGAGUGAAAAAGAUUUAUCUGCCUAAAGAAAAGCUCGCGGCUGAUUAGCUAGUUGGUAGGGUAAUGGCUUACCAAGGCGACGAUCAGUAUCUGGUUUGAGAGGACGAUCAGACACACUGGAACUGAGACACGGUCCAGACUCCUACGGGAGGCAGCAGUAGGGAAUUUUCCGCAAUGGGCGAAAGCCUGACGGAGCAAUACCGCGUGAGGGAAGACUGCCUAUGGGUUGUAAACCUCUUUUUUCAGGGAGGAAUAACUGACGUGUACCUGAAGAAUAAGCAUCGGCUAACUCCGUGCCAGCAGCCGCGGUAAGACGGAGGAUGCAAGUGUUAUCCGGAAUCACUGGGCGUAAAGCGUCUGUAGGUGGUUGUAUAAGUCAACUGUUAAAUCUUGAGGCUCAACUUCAAAGUCGCAGUCGAAACUAUUCAACUAGAGUAUA